rnacentral:rRNA from 1 species
CCUACGGGGUGCAGCAGUGGGGAAUAUUGCGCAAUGGGCGAAAGCCUGACGCAGCGACGCCGCGUGAGGGAUGAAGGUCUUCGGAUCGUAAACCUCUGUCAGCAGGGAAGAACGGUCACUGUGCUAAUCAGCAGUGAAUUGACGGUACCUGCAAAGGAAGCACCGGCUAACUCCGUGCCAGCAGCCGCGGUAAUACGGAGGGUGCGAGCGUUAAUCGGAAUUACUGGGCGUAAAGCGCUCGUAGGCGGUAUGUCAAGUCAAGGGUGAAAUCCCCGCGCUCAACGUGGGAACUGCCUUUGAAACUGGCAAACUGGAGUGUGUGAGAGGAUAGUGGAAUUCCAGGUGUAGGAGUGAAAGCCGUAGAUAUCUGGAGGAACAUCAGUGGCGAAGGCGACUAUCUGGCACAUAACUGACGCCGAGGAGCGAAAGCGUGGGUAGCAAACAGGAUUAGAUACCCUUGUAGUC